GCUUGUUUCUCCACUACCUCCUCCAGACUGGAGCCCUCUCUGGAGAGGAACAGGACAACAAGGUCAGGACAACGUUAGAACAAUGAAAAGGCAACAUUAGGUGUUAACAUAAGGGUUAGGGUUAGGUGUGUAUAUAUAUAUAUACCUGAAGCCAGUCCAGGGUUAGGUGUGUAUAUAUACCUGAAGCCAGUCCAGGGUUAGGUGUGUAUAUAUAUAUACCUGAAGUCAGUCCAGGGUUAGGUGUGUAUAUAUACCUGAAGUCAGUCCAGGGUUAGGUGUGUAUAUAUAUAUAUAUACCUGAAGCCAGUCCAGGGUUAGGUGUGUAUAUAUACCUGAAGCCAGUCCAGGGUUAGGUGUGUAUAUAUAUAUACCUGAAGUCAGUCCAGGGUUAGGUGUGUAUAUAUAUAUACCUGAAGUCAGUCCAGGGUUAGGUGUGUAUAUAUACCUGAAGCCAGUCCAGGGUUAGGUGUGUAUAUAUACCUGAAGUCAGUCCAGGGUUAGGUGUGUAUAUAUACCUGAAGUCAGUCCAGGGUUAGGUGUGUAUAUAUACCUGAAGCCAGUCCAGGGUUAGGUGUGUAUAUAUAUAUAUACCUGAAGUCAGUCCAGGGUUAGGUGUGUA